rnacentral:lncRNA from 1 species
AAAUAAUACAACAAUAAUACAUAAAUACACGCAAACAAAAAAAAAAAAUGCAUAAACAGAUUACAGCGUAUUAUUUCAAAACAUCUCAUUUCAAUUAUACAUAUACAUAUAUACAUAUAUUUUUUUUAUGGUAAUUUUAGCGAAUUAAGCAAUGUAAAUCAAUCAGAAGAAUUAAUCAGACUUCAAAAAGAAAAUGAAAAAUUAAGAAAUAAAAUAGAAUCUGAUACAAAUAAAGAAUCAAAGAGAGUGAAAGAACUUGAAAAAGAACUCAAGGAUUUGAAAGAAAUAAAUAACAAUUUAAAGAAUGAAGUAUUAAAAGACACAAAUAAUAACAACGCUCAAACUAAUCCACAACAGGAGAAAUAUGAAGCACAAAAUGAAAAAAUCAUCAAAUUAGAAGCUGAGCUAUUAAUUGAAAAAAAAAAUAGUACAAUUAUUGAAGAAACGACUAAAAAUAAAUUAACAAAGGAAUUUAAUGCUGCAUUGCAAAUUUUUAAAGAACAAUUACAAAUUAGGGAAAAGGAAACUGAAUAUUACAAAGAAACAAUGAAAACACAGAUAGAUACUUUUAAAGACGAACAAAAAUUAUUAAGCGAUAUUAUUCACAACUUAGGCCUAAAAUAUAAACAAUUACAAACUUAUAAUCUUUGUUUAAAGAAUGAAAUUACAGGAAUUAAAUUAAGAACCAAAGCUUGUACAAAUUCCGACAACAAAUAAAAUCCCAGUUUUAUACAUAUAUAAUACUCCUUACAAUUAUUUUUUUUCUGUUUUUAAAUUAUUUUAAUUUUUUAAUAAGUCAAAACAUCAACAAAAUAACAUCAUGAAUAAAGUAAAUACUUCAUAUUUGUACA